UGAGUAACACGUGGGCAAUCUGCCCUGCACUUCGGGAUAAGCCUGGGAAACUGGGUCUAAUACCGGAUAGGACCUUUAGGCGCAUGCCUUUUGGUGGAAAGCUUUUGCGGUGUGGGAUGGGCCCGCGGCCUAUCAGCUUGUUGGUGGGGUGAUGGCCUACCAAGGCGACGACGGGUAGCCGGCCUGAGAGGGUGUCCGGCCACACUGGGACUGAGAUACGGCCCAGACUCCUACGGGAGGCAGCAGUGGGGAAUAUUGCACAAUGGGCGCAAGCCUGAUGCAGCGACGCCGCGUGGGGGAUGACGGCCUUCGGGUUGUAAACCUCUUUCACCAUCGACGAAGGUCCGGGUUUUCUCGGAUUGACGGUAGGUGGAGAAGAAGCACCGGCCAACUACGUGCCAGCAGCCGCGGUAAUACGUAGGGUGCGAGCGUUGUCCGGAAUUACUGGGCGUAAAGAGCUCGUAGGUGGUUUGUCGCGUUGUUCGUGAAAUCUCACGGCUUAACUGUGAGCGUGCGGGCGAUACGGGCAGACUAGAGUACUGCAGGGGAGACUGGAAUUCCUGGUGUAGCGGUGGAAUGCGCAGAUAUCAGGAGGAACACCGGUGGCGAAGGCGGGUCUCUGGGCAGUAACUGACGCUGAGGAGCGAAAGCGUGGGGGAGCGAACAGGAUUAGAUACCCCUGGUAGUCCACGCCCGUAAACGGUGGGUACUAGGUGUGGGGUUUCCUUCCUUGGGAUCCGUGCCGUAGCUAACGCAUUUAAGUACCCCCGCCCUGGGGGAGUACGGCCGCAAAGGCUAAAACUCAAAAGGAAUUUGACGGGGGGCCCCGCACAA
rnacentral:rRNA from 1 species